UACUUACAUAUGAAGCAUGACACAUCAACUUAGGAAGGAAGUAUGAGACAUCUACUUCAAAACAUGAUUCAUCUUCUCUUUGCUACUAAUUGCAUGACAUCUCCAUAUUACUCCCACACCACCUAAUCCUAUGUUCAGCAAUUCCUACAGAAAUUUUCAGUAUUCUAAACCUCUUAGUCUUUCUCUCACACUUGCACUCUUUCUCAAGAACCAAGCAUACCAACCAUUAUAAUUCAAGAGGUGGUGAGAACGUGGACACUUGAGCUUCUCUAAUCCUAAUCUCUUGCAUACUCUACUUUCAGGUUGCAGGCAUACCUUGGCAUAAAGAUCGAAUAUUGUCCCGCAAUUUUCAUUCCGCAUGCAAAAAAGUGAAGAACACACUUUGUCUUUCAAAUUUCUUUGUUCAAGCGGCUCCUCUCUACAAUGACUCAGAAAUACACAGCAGGCUAUACUGACAACGUUCAAAGCAUGAACAAGUAUUCAGAGUUUACAUGGAAAAGGGAGAAGCUAACUGAUUCGGCAAAUCUAGAGUUACCAAAAGUCAUUUUAGGACUUACAGCAGAAAAUUGGAGAAUGGUCCAUGUGUCUGGCCACUUUCGAUUUUGAUAUGAAAAAUUGUACUCGACCAGAAUAAAGAUAUAGUGGAAGACGAGAAGGCAAACAAUAGAAAAGAUGAAUAUUGUCAAAAAUAAAGACAAAUUCAUUCUUAUUAAUAUUGCCACUGACUGAGAACUUGGAAGAUGAUACACAAGUGCAACGAAGAGCCAGGAUACAUACCUGCAGAAGCAAAUUCCCAAAAUUUACUAAAUACCCAUUGUUUAUCUUUAUGUCCCUAUACAGUCUACACAUACACAUGAGAACAUGAUAUUUUCCGUUUCACCUGAAAGGGAUGAAGUCCAUUUUUUUUUCAUGGUCAAAUUUUUUUAAUUUUUUUCUAAUGGAAAAUGCUAUAGUUAUUACAAAUUU